GUGAGAAUCUGCCUUUUGGACGGGGACAACUGCUGGAAACGGCAGCUAAGACCGGAUAUGCCUUCGGGUGAAAUAUUUAUAGCCAAAAGAGGAGCUCGCGACCGAUUAGCUAGUUGGUGGGGUAAGAGCCUACCAAGGCUGCGAUCGGUAGCCGGUUUGAGAGGACGACCGGCCACACUGGGACUGAGACACGGCCCAGACUCCUACGGGAGGCAGCAGUGGGGAAUUUUCCGCAAUGGGCGAAAGCCUGACGGAGCAAUACCGCGUGAGGGAGGAAGGCUCUUGGGUCGUAAACCUCUUUUCUCAGGGAAGAAGCAAUGACGGUACCUGAGGAAUCAGCAUCGGCUAACUCCGUGCCAGCAGCCGCGGUAAUACGGAGGAUGCAAGCGUUAUCCGGAAUGAUUGGGCGUAAAGCGUCCGCAGGUGGCACAUCAAGUCUGCUGUCAAAGACCCCAGCUUAACUGGGAAGAGGCGGUGGAAACUGGUGAGCUAGAGAGCAAUAGGGGUAGAGGGAAUUCCCGGUGUAGCGGUGAAAUGCGUAGAGAUCGGGAAGAACACCAGUGGCGAAAGCGCUCUACUAGGUUGACUCUGACACUGAGGGACGAAAGCUAGGGGAGCGAAUGGGAUUAGAUAC
rnacentral:rRNA from 1 species